AGAAUUCUCAGUGAUUCAAUUCACUACUUGAUUUCACUCCCUAGAAGGAAGCUUAGGACUAGCUGUAAGCUUUGAGGAAAGCGACUCUUGCCUUUAUAUAUAUAUAAUAAGUCGAAAGAGAACUUCCCAGGAAAAGCUCGAACUAGCCAGCUUCUGUUUUUUAGUAGGGCUGGCUUUCACUCGUUAACUACCGUCUAAGCAUCCCACAGCUGACUCAAUAGGAACCGAACUCUCCUUUCAAAAGUCUGGUAUUCAAGGAGUUACGUCGAAGUCUGAAAGCAGAAGCUUAGAGGAUUACUGAACGAGCGAAGCAGCUCGAGCAUAGCGAGAGGAGUGAUGAUACGGCUUAUCGGAUGAAAGG
rnacentral:misc_RNA from 1 species